UUUUAAAUAAGAUAUUAAUAUUAAUAUUAGUUAUUGAAAAUAUUAUUUUUAUUGUUUAUAAUGUUAUUAUUUUUUAUUUUAUUUAUUUUUUAAAAAUUUUUUUAUUUUUUAAAUUUUUAUUUUUUUUAAAAAUUUUUUAUUUUUUUUAAAAUUUUUUUCUUUUUUUUAAAGUUUUUAUUUUUUAAAAAUUUUUUAUUUUUAUUUUAAAGUUUUUAUUUUUAAAAAUUUUUAUUUUUUAUUUAAGUUUUUUUAUUAAAAUUAUUUAAUUUAAGAGAAAAUAUUAAAAAUUAAUUAUUAUGCUUAUUUAUUCAUAUAUGUUAUUAUAUAAUUUUUUAAAUUAGUAUAAAAAAUUAAGUUAAUUUAAUAAAAAUUAUUAAAUUUUAAAAAAUAAAUUAAUAAAUAUUGGUUUUAUAAAUAUUUAUAAAUCAAUAUAUAAUUAUAUAUAUAUAUUUAUUAAUAUAAAAUUAAUAUUUAUAUAUAUAUAAUUAUUUAUAAAUUAAUAUAUAGUUAGAGAAUAAAAUAAUAUAUAUAUAUUUAUAUAAUUAUAAAUAUAUAUAAUAUUAUAUAUAUAUAUAUAUAUAUUUUAUUUUAAAUAAAUAAAAUAUAACAAAAAAAAAAAAAAACUCAUUUUAUUAUUUAUUAUUAAUAUUUAAAUUAAUUAAUAAAAAAAAAUAUUUAUAAUAUAAAAUAAUUAAUUUUAUAUUUAAAAUUUUAUACUAAAUAAUAAAAUUAUAUAUUAAAUAAUAUGAAUAAAUAAAAAUUAUAAUAUAUAUAUAUAUAUAUAUAUAUAUAUAUUAAAAAUUAUUUUAUAUUAUUUA
rnacentral:rRNA from 1 species